AUGAACGUUUUCGUACCUCUGCCGCAAGAAAGGGAGAGAAGGGUCGACCAGAGGCAGACCUCUCCCGGACAAAUUGCGGAAUUUGAGGACACCGGCGUUCUUGUAGAAGAAGCCGGAGAGGGUCUGUGGCGACCUCUUGAGGAUGUCACGGGCGAUGCAGAGGGCGAGCCACGGCUUGGACACACACUUGAAGCGGCAGAGAGACCUGUAGGGCACUCGCGAAAGGAUCUCGACAAGGGCGCCCUCGGGGAGGCUCGGCACGAUCUGCUGCUCUUGCUCCAGCUUCUGCUUCUUCUCCUGUCAAUGAUACAAAUGGACAAAGAUAUACUUCUAAAAACAUUGGAUGGUGUUCGAAGAUAUUAUGCACACGGCAAAGGCCUUCUGCAACUUGACUUUAUCAAGUGGAAUAGUAACCCCGAGGAAGUUUUAAAAUGGAUUAAAGAGUCAACUAGAUGGUCUAACGAGCUGGAUGAUUAUGAGCUACAACUUGGUUAA
rnacentral:rRNA from 1 species